rnacentral:rRNA from 1 species
UCCGUAGGUGAACCUGCGGAAGGAUCAUUAACAUUAAUCCAACCAUCUAAACCUAGCCUUAUGUACUGUAGUAGUUGUAGCUAGUUUAACGACAGGCUUAUGCAGCUACAGUAUCAAUCACAACUAAUUGAAAGGAGUCUAACUAAGCUUUACAACCAAUAUCAAAUUCUCAACGAUGGAUAUCUUGGUUCCCAUAACGAUGAAGAACGCAGCGAAGUGCGAUAAGCAGUGCGAAUUGCAGAACCGUGAGUCAUCAGAUCUUUGAACGCAAAUGGCGCUAGUUGGUUACCCAGCUAGCAUGCUUGUUUCAGUGUCUUGUUACGACUCACACAUCAUAAUGUGAUUGACUCUGGAUGUGGGUGAAAACCUCUUCCGGUGUCUCUCAUGAAGUGAGCGCUGGACCGACGAAACCGAUGCAGUAGUCACUCUCGCAGUGAUACUCAUUGGAACUCGGCGGAGUACUCCUGCGUAAUAAAUCGAUAACAUCACAACGCAUCUGAGGGCAAGCAAGGAACACCCCGGCUGGAACCUUAAGGCAUAUCAAUAAGGCGGGAGGGAAGGUCGGACUGGCC